GACGAACGCUGGCGGCGUGCUUAACACAUGCGAGUCGAACGGAGAGGCCCUGCUUUUGUGGGGUGCUCGAGAGGCGAACGGGUGAGUAACACGUGAGUAACCUGCCCUUGACUUUGGGAUAACUUCAGGAAACUGGGGCUAAUACCGGAUAGGAGCUCCUGCUGCAUGGUGGGGGUUGGAAAGUUUCGGCGGUUGGGGAUGGACUCGCGGCUUAUCAGCUUGUUGGUGGGGUAGUGGCUUACCAAGGCUUUGACGGGUAGCCGGCCUGAGAGGGUGACCGGCCACAUUGGGACUGAGAUACGGCCCAGACUCCUACGGGAGGCAGCAGUGGGGAAUAUUGCACAAUGGGCGGAAGCCUGAUGCAGCAACGCCGCGUGCGGGAUGACGGCCUUCGGGUGGUAAACCGCUUUCGCCUGUGACGAAGCGUGAGUGACGGUAAUGGGUAAAGAAGCACCGGCUAACUACGU
rnacentral:rRNA from 1 species